UUGAGAAGAAAUUCCACUCUAAGUUUAUUGAAAUAUGUUACAACAUCUGUGUGGUGGUUUCACCCUGAUGGACAGCUAAACUAUACUGCUCUCUCAGCCCUCACCAUGAAGGAGCUGGGGAGAAAAUACAAUGAAAGAGGGCUCAGGUGUUGAGAUAAGUGCAGGGAAAUCACUCAUCAAUUACUAUCAUGGGCAAAACAGACUCAGUGUUGGAAGACUAAUGUAAUUUAUUGCCUACUGCUACCAGGUGAGAGCAGUGAGAACUAAAAGCAGACUAAAACACCUUCACACCAUACACCUUCUCCUACUUUCUCCUGAGUGGCACAGGACAACGGGGCUGUAGACAGCCCAUAAUACAUCAUCUCUGCUGUUCCUCCAUGGUCACUCCCUUCCCCUGCUCCAUGUGGGUCCCUCCCAUGGAUGCCAUCCUUCCCCAGCUGAUCUUUCAUGGCUUCCCACGGGAUGCAGCUCUUCAAGCAUGUUUCCAACACAGCUCCAUACCACAGGGCCAUCCCUCAGGCACUGCUCCAGCACAGCUCCAAGGGCAGCAGUUCCUGCAGCCUCCUUCAAGCCACAUCCACUGCUGCACCAUGAGUUCCUCCACAGCUGAGUGGGGAGGUAUGUUCCAGAUGGUGUCCAUGGGCUGCAGGGGGACAGCCUCCUCCACCACGGGUCUCUCCUGGGCCACAGGGAACCGCUGCUGCUGCAUGCCUGAAACAUCUCCUUCCCUUCUUCUGCGCUGACCUUGGUGGCUGCAGGGUUGUUUUAGAGUUGUUUUUAUUUCUGCUAAUAUGAAAACCUUUACUGUACCCAUGGGCUGCAGAAUGAGAUGGCUCUUCUGUGUAAACAACUCCUUGGUAAUCAUUUGCCAAGUGUGAGCACAUUGUUUUGCCCCUCUGAUCUGUUUCAGCAGAAAAGUGGGGGAAAUUUGGUGUUGGAAGUAUUUAGCAGAGCCUUUCUAAUUGCUCCUGGAGAAACAUCAGGUAACUAGCGCAUCCUUAAAAAAAACUCACAAACCAGAAGGAAGGAGUAUUUUUGUAGAAAACAUCAAAAGCCAGGUACUGUCUCUGCAUGAACUGUCAGGAUGAAAUGUACAAGGGGCAUGAAGGAGGUGCAAGCACUAACAGCCAUUGGUGGUUUUUUUUAUAUUUGUAGCCAAAAUUGUUUGGAUUUAGAACUCCAAAAGUUCUCAUAUAAGCAGGAAGGCAUGGGAAGCUUGGGAGAGAUAAAUAGAAAUGUCUGGAAAUUGGGCCUUUCAUGUUGUCUGUGCACUGAAUAACUGGCAACUUUUAUAGUUAUUGCCCUAGACAUCUUAAGCCAAGCAAUAGCUUACAAUGAGAAUUGCUUAGCUUAUUCUUGUGGGCAGGGAUAUGUUUUCCCAUGCACUGAAAAUGUGAUUUGGACAUUAUUCUCACUGAAUAGGACAGCAAUCUCCAAGUGUUUAUAUUGUGAUUGUAAUGGCACUGAUUUUUAAUUUUUUUUUUUUGGCAGUGAUAGUUUUUCUUUGUUUUCAUGUAAGAACAGUCUUUAAAUGUGUGAGAAAGUAGAAGAAAGAAAGCAGAAGGUCCUAAACAGCAGUGAAUUAACACCGAAAGAGUCUGGAUGUUAGAUGUGCAGAAAGAAAGUGAUCAGUAACCCUUAGUAAAGUUGCAAGUGCCGUGCAUUUGCUUGCAGUACUGAGAAUUUAACAGCUGGUACCUAGCAGUCAGGGCAUCAGGUUAGCAAUAUGUUGCCUUUAGAGAUAUUUCUUUUGGGUAUCUUUUAAUCCCACUUUAUCCAAGACAGGCGGGCUGUCAGAUCUGCACCAAACAGAAGAAAGAAAGGAAAACAAAGUAAGCAC
rnacentral:lncRNA from 1 species